AAUCAACAACUGAGAAGACACUGAUAGAGUUAUAUGUGA
rnacentral:guide_RNA from 1 species